rnacentral:rRNA from 1 species
UACGGAGGGGGCUAGCGUUGUUCGGAAUUACUGGGCGUAAAGCGCAUGUAGGCGGCUUUGUAAGUUAGAGGUGAAAGCCCAGGGCUUAACCCUGGAAUUGCCUUUAAGACUGCAUCGCUAGAAUCGUGGAGAGGUGAGUGGAAUUCCGAGUGUAGAGGUGAAAUUCGUAGAUAUUCGGAAGAACACCAGUGGCGAAGGCGACUCACUGGACACGUAUUGACGCUGAGGUGCGAAAGCGUGGGGAGCAAACAGG